GCCAAUAAGACGAGAAGAUAAAAGUCCAAGCUGGCUUCAGUAGUUUCGUACGGUCAGGGAGAGAGGCUGCAAUGAAGAGCGUUACACUAACGGGUUCACGGAAGAAAUGGAACUGAUGGUCACACAGAUUUAUGGAGGCAGACAUCCAAACCUAGAUUGGACCUCCAGGAGAGAUGAGUGUGGCCACUGGGAUGUGCACAUUUAUGGACUUAAAGGUGCCCCAACCAACCUUCUUAUCAAGCCUCUCUUCCACCGCUACCACCUCUUAGCGAGCCUCUGGUGGGACGGGUUCAUCCUCUGGCUCUGUCUGUGCUGAGACUUAAUUAUGAUAUGCCACAGCAACGUCAGCCCCAAGUAUUGGCUGAGAUGGAGUCAACUUUAGCAGCAGUGAUGCAGCAUCAUAAUGCACAGUACGUAAGUCUUGUUUGUAUGUGUAUGUACUUGUAACAGUAUAUUGUUCAUAUGUUGCGUUUGUUCCUAGAAAGUCUGUCAUUUACCAGUUUGAAACGGCACUGGGUUCAUUCCAUUAACUGGCUUUGGACAACGUGAUGUCAUAUGCUUUUAUUGCCAGAUCUAACCUAAGCCAUGCACAUGUUGGAUUAUUUGUUGCACAUGCAGCCCAUGUCCAGUCAGUCUGUGAAGAUGUCCUGGUCAGUUCUUUACAGGUCUGUGUGGUAGUUGGUUGUUUAGGCUAUAGACUAGUUCACAUUUGUGUCACGGUGGACAUGAAUGAGUGAGGUGCCAAAAGACUCAACGCUGAUAAUAUUUCAUCUUCUAUAUUUGCAUAAAUCAAAUUUAAACCUUGUUUUCUCACCCAAUGGUUGGUGUCAGCACAACAGAGCUAAGAUUUGACAUUUACUUGGUUUAUUCUAGUUCAUUAACUCUGAAAACAUUUAAAAAUCACACUCCUGCUGUGGACCCGUUUUUUUGUGGGCAGUACCAAGAUCAUAAGGCGCAUAAACCAACCUCGUGUCAAGCCAACACCUCCGUCUCCUGCAGAGGAGCUCCGCAAUGGGGAAAUCCACAGGUCAGCAAGAAAUUAAAAAGUUGGUGGAGGAAGAGGAAGAGGAGGAUGAUGGUGACCAUGAGGAGGACAAGACCAGAGAUUUUGAAGAAAAGGACAGUGACUCAUCCUCAGAAGAUAUGUAUAAGUGAAAACAGAAGCAAGUUAAUCACAAUAGUUCCCUAA
rnacentral:lncRNA from 1 species